GAGUGCCUACGGGACGCAGCAGUGGGGAAUAUUGGGCAAUGGGCGCAAGCCUGACCCAGCAACGCCGCGUGAAGGAAGAAGGCUUUCGGGUUGUAAACUUCUUUUCUCAGGGACGAAGCAAGUGACGGUACCUGAGGAAUAAGCCACGGCUAACUACGUGCCAGCAGCCGCGGUAAUACGUAGGUGGCAAGCGUUAUCCGGAUUUACUGGGUGUAAAGGGCGUGUAGGCGGGAAAGCAAGUCAGAUGUGAAAACCACGGG
rnacentral:rRNA from 1 species